UCAUACUGUUCUUACCCCAAUGGGCUUG
rnacentral:sRNA from 1 species